CCCUUAGAUGUUCUGGGCGGCCCGCGCACUACAUUGGCACUCUCAAUAAGUUCCUAGAUCUAAAACUUUGGGGUAUUCUAUUAAGUGGUGUCGUGACUGGGAUUAACCCUUGCAAUUAUUGGUUACGAACGAGGAAUUCCUUGUAAUCGCGGUUUAUCAGCCCGCGUUGAAUGCGUCCCUGCCCUUUGUACACACCGCCCGUCGCUCCUACCGAUGAAUCAUCCGGUGAAGUUCAUGGAGUGGUGGUUGUUCCAGCUGCUGUCGAAGUGAAAUGGACCUCACGAUUUAGAGGAAGGAGAAGUCGUAACA
rnacentral:rRNA from 1 species